UUAACUCAAAUGUGUAUGUAGUUGGAACGUAUGCCUACGUUUGCCGCUAGGGGCGCUGUUUCAACGGCAUACCAAUUGGAGUUA
rnacentral:pre_miRNA from 1 species